rnacentral:rRNA from 1 species
GUAGGGAAUAUUGGACAAUGGGCGAAAGCCUGAUCCAGCAAUGCCGCGUGAGUGAUGAAGGCCUUAGGGUUGUAAAGCUCUUUUACCAGGGAUGAUAAUGACAGUACCUGGAGAAUAAGCUCCGGCUAACUCCGUGCCAGCAGCCGCGGUAAUACGGAGGGAGCUAGCGUUGUUCGGAAUUACUGGGCGUAAAGCGCGCGUAGGCGGCGAUUUAAGUCAGAGGUGAAAGCCCGGGGCUCAACCCCGGAAUAGCCUUUGAGACUGGAUUGCUAGAAUCCUGGAGAGGUGAGUGGAAUUCCGAGUGUAGAGGUGAAAUUCGUAGAUAUUCGGAAGAACACCAGUGGCGAAGGCGGCUCACUGGCUCGAUACUGACGCUGAGGUGCGAAAGCGUGGGGAGCAAACAGGAUUAGAUACCCCGGUAGUCC